CCUACGGGUGGCUGCAGUCGAGGAUCUUCGGCAAUGGGCGCAAGCCUGACCGAGCGACGCCGCGUGCGGGAUGAAGGCCUUCGGGUUGUAAACCGCUGUCAGAGGGGAUGAAAUGCCGGGAGGUUCUCCUUUCGGUUUGACAGAUCCUCAGAGGAAGGACGGGCUACGUUCGUGCCAGCAGCCGCGGUAAGACGAACCGUCCGAACGUUAUUCGGUAUCACUGGGCUUGGCGGCGCGGUAGGCGGGGCGUGAAAUCCCUCGGCUCAACCGAGGAAUUGCGCUCCAAACUACCGUGCUUGAGGGAGACAGAGGUGAGUGGAACUUAGGGUGGAGCGGUGAAAUGCGUUGAUAUCCUAAGGAACACCAGUGGCGAAAGCGACUCACUGGGUCUCUUCUGACGCUGAGGCACGAAAGCUAGGGUAGCGAACGGGAUUAGAUACCCUGGUAGUC
rnacentral:rRNA from 1 species